AUGCUUGUGGUCGAUUCAGCCGGGGAUCAACAACGCCGUCGUCGCCGGUGGCAUGGAUACCAUGUCCAAUGCCCCCAAAUACGCUACAACAAUAGUUUCUUAGAUGGAAACCUCGCAGAUAUGGAUGACUAUCUGAAGGUAUGCAGGUUUCUUUCCAAACUUAACAAUGAGAUACUAGGGUUGAUCGACGUGGACUACCGUGACCUGGUCUGCGUCGUGCUCUUCAACCACACAGAGACGGACUUCACCGUGAAGCCUGGCGACCGCGUCAUAUAG
rnacentral:rRNA from 1 species